AUCCCUUUUGUAGUUUAUAAGCACAACAAUUGGGUUUUCACUCUGUUGUGUGAGAUAUGCCUCCCUCAAACCUCACCUUGUCACAUUACCUGUCUGAUA